UACGUAGGGUGCAAGCGUUGUCCGGAAUUAUUGGGCGUAAAGAGCUCGUAGGCGGUUCGUCGCGUCGGCUGUGAAAACCCGGAGCUCAACUCCGGGCCUGCAGUCGAUACGGGCGGACUGGAGUUCGGCAGGGGAGACUGGAAUUCCUGGUGUAGCGGUGAAAUGCGCAGAUAUCAGGAGGAACACCGGUGGCGAAGGCGGGUCUCUGGACCGAUACUGACGCUGAGGCGCGAAAGCGUGGGGAGCAAACAGG
rnacentral:rRNA from 1 species